rnacentral:rRNA from 1 species
AUUGAACGCUGGCGGCGUGCCUAACACAUGCAAGUCGAGCGCGAAAGGAGCAAUCCGAGUAGAGCGGCGCACGGGUGCGUAACACGUGGAUAAUCUGCCUCAGGGUUGAGGAUAACCUUCCGAAAGGUUGGCUAAUACUCGGUAAGCUUACGGUGACUUCGGUCGCUGUGAGAAAACUAGACCUCUAUUUAUAAGUUUAGGCCCAGAGAUGAGUCCGCGGCCCAUCAGCUAGUUGGCGGGGUAACGGCCCACCAAGGCUACGACGGGUAGCUGGUCUGAGAGGACGAUCAGCCACACUGGAACUGAGACACGGUCCAGACUCCUACGGGAGGCAGCAGUGGGGAAUUUUCCACAAUGGGCGAAAGCCUGACGGAGCAACGCCGCGUGUGUGAUGAAGGUCUUCGGAUCGUAAAGCACUUUCGACUGGGACGAAAAACCUUUGGCUAACAUCCAGGGGCCUGACGGUACCAGGAGAAGAAGCACCGGCUAACUCUGUGCCAGCCGCCGCAGUAACAC